rnacentral:lncRNA from 1 species
UUGUUAAGAGAUCUUCAAUGGCAACAGAAAUCUAUAGCCCUCAUUUCAUAGUUUCUAUGUCUCUCCAAGUAAUAUAUUUCUCAUGGAAGCCGUCACCUUCUUAUUUCUUCAAGAUCAAUUUUGAUAGCAGUAUGUGGAAGAGAAGUGAUUUGGGAGGAGUAAUUUCUAUUAUUCGAAGUGACAUCAGUUCUUUAAUAGCAGAUGGUGCUGUUAUGAUUUAUGAUGCCACAGUUUCAAUGGCAAAAUUACC